GUGAUGACGAGGCACUACGGUGCUGAAGUGACAAAUGCCCUGCUUCCAGGAAAAGCCUCUAAGCAUCAGGUAACAUCAAAUCGUACCCCAAACCGACACAGGUGGUCAGGUAGAGAAUACCAAGGCGCUUGAGAGAACUCGGGUGAAGGAACUAGGCAAAAUGGUGCCGUAACUUCGGGAGAAGGCACGCUGAUAUGUAGGUGAAGUGGUUUACCCAUGGAGCUGAAAUCAGUCGAAGAUACCAGCUGGCUGCAACUGUUUAUUAAAAACACAGCACUGUGCAAACACGAAAGUGGACGUAUACGGUGUGACGCCUGCCCGGUGCCGGAAGGUUAAUUGAUGGGGUUAUCCGUAAGGAGAAGCUCUUGAUCGAAGCCCCGGUAAACGGCGGCCGUAACUAUAACGGUCCUAAGGUAGCGAAAUUCCUUGUCGGGUAAGUUCCGACCUGCACGAAUGGCGUAAUGAUGGCCAGGCUGUCUCCACCCGAGACUCAGUGAAAUUGAACUCGCUGUGAAGAUGCAGUGUACCCGCGGCAAGACGGAAAGACCCCGUGAACCUUUACUAUAGCUUGACACUGAACACUGGUCCUUGAUGUGUAGGAUAGGUGGGAGGCUUUGAAGUGUGGACGCCAGUCUGCAUGGAGCCAUCCUUGAAAUACCACCCUUUAAUGGCUGGUGUUCUAACGUGGGCCCGUAAUCCGGGUUGCGGACAGUGUCUGGUGGGUAGUUUGACUGGGGCGGUCUCCUCCUAAAGAGUAACGGAGGAGCACGAAGGUCAGCUAAUCCUGGUCGGACAUCAGGAGGUUAGUGCAAUGGCAUAAGCUGGCUUGACUGCGAGCGUGACGGCGCGAGCAGGUGCGAAAGCAGGUCAUAGUGAUCCGGUGGUUCUGAAUGGAAGGGCCAUCGCUCAACGGAUAAAAGGUACUCCGGGGAUAACAGGCUGAUACCGCCCAAGAGUUCAUAUCGACGGCGGUGUUUGGCACCUCGAUGUCGGCUCAUCACAUCCUGGGGCUGAAGUAGGUCCCAAGGGUAUGGCUGUUCGCCAUUUAAAGUGGUACGCGAGCUGGGUUUAGAACGUCGUGAGACAGUUCGGUCCCUAUCUGCCGUGGGCGCUGGAGAAUUGAGGGGGGCUGCUCCUAGUACGAGAGGACCGGAGUGGACGCAUCACUGGUGUUCGGGUUGUCAUGCCAAUGGCAUUGCCCGGUAGCUAAAUGCGGAAGAGAUAAGUGCUGAAAGCAUCUAAGUACGAAACUUGCCCCGAGAUGAGUUCUCCCUGACCCUUUAAGGGUCCUGAAGGAACGUUGAAGACGACGACGUUGAUAGGCCGGGUGUGUAAGCGCAGCGAUGCGUUGAGCUAACCGGUACUAAUGAACCGUGAGGCUUAACCUU
rnacentral:rRNA from 1 species